rnacentral:lncRNA from 10 species
UUUUGCGAAAAAGUGGAUCAAUAUUCGGAAGUCAUAUGGAAAUUUUUACAAGAGAAAGAGGAAAGGACCAGGAGUGGCGACCGGCAAACCACAGCUUGUGUGGGAAGGAAAUUUGACAUGUGAUGCAAGCGGACGUUUGUGUAAACUGCUGGGAGAUUAACAACGGGAUCUCACUCUGUCACCCAGGCUGGAAUUGCAUGAUCAUGGCUCACUGCAGCCUCAGACUUUUGGGCUCAAGCAAUGCUCCCGCCUCAGCCUCCCAAAAUGCUGGAUUACAGGCACAACUGUGAGUGGAAUUGCUGAGUCAUGUGGCAAACUACCAGUUCUGUUGAACCUCAGGGCCAUCAUUCUGUUCAUGUCAGCUCGUUGUAGAACCACAUCGAUGAAGACCAAGAUGGUAAAGAUGAAAAAUUGUAGCUAACAUUUACUGCACAUUUACUACAAGCCAAGCAUUGCACUAUGAAGUUUAAGUGCAUUAUUCAUUAACCCCUUCAAUAAAAUUUGUAAUUUUCAUUUCAGAA